rnacentral:rRNA from 1 species
AUUGAACGCUGGCGGCAGGCCUAACACAUGCAAGUCGAGCGGAUGAAGGGAGCUUGCUCCUGGAUUCAGCGGCGGACGGGUGAGUAAUGCCUAGGAAUCUGCCUGGUAGUGGGGGAUAACGUCCGGAAACGGGCGCUAAUACCGCAUACGUCCUGAGGGAGAAAGUGGGGGAUCUUCGGACCUCACGCUAUCAGAUGAGCCUAGGUCGGAUUAGCUAGUUGGUGGGGUAAAGGCCUACCAAGGCGACGAUCCGUAACUGGUCUGAGAGGAUGAUCAGUCACACGGGAACUGAGACACGGUCCAGACUCCUACGGGAGGCAGCAGUGGGGAAUAUUGGACAAUGGGCGAAAGCCUGACCCAGCCAUGCCGCGUGUGUGAAGAAGGUCUUCGGAUUGUAAAGCCCUUUGGGUGGGGAGGAAGGGAAGUAAGUUAAUACCUUGCUGUUUGGACGUUACAAAAAGAAUAAGCACCGGCUAACUUCGUG